rnacentral:rRNA from 1 species
AUUGAACGCUGGCGGCAGGCCUAACACAUGCAAGUCGAGCGGAUGAAGGGAGCUUGCUCCUGGAUUCAGCGGCGGACGGGUGAGUAAUGCCUAGGAAUCUGCCUGGUAGUGGGGGAUAACGUCCGGAAACGGGCGCUAAUACCGCAUACGUCCUGAGGGAGAAAGUGGGGGAUCUUCGGACCUCACGCUAUCAGAUGAGCCUAGGUCGGAUUAGCUAGUUGGUGGGGUAAAGGCCUACCAAGGCGACGAUCCGUAACUGGUCUGAGAGGAUGAUCAGUCACACUGGAACUGAGACACGGUCCAGACUCCUACGGGAGGCAGCAGUGGGGAAUAUUGGACAAUGGGCGAAAGCCUGAUCCAGCCAUGCCGCGUGUGUGAAGAAGGUCUUCGGAUUGUAAAGCACUUUAAGUUGGGAGGAAGGGCAGUAAGUUAAUACCUUGCUGUUUUGACGUUACCAACAGAAUAAGCACCGGCUAACUGUGUG